rnacentral:rRNA from 1 species
AGAGUUUGAUCCUGGCUCAGAAUCAACGCUGGCGGCGUGCCUAACACAUGCAAGUCGAACGAGAAAGUGGAGCAAUCCAUGAGUACAGUGGCGCACGGGUGAGUAACACGUGACUAACCUACCCUUGAGUGGGGGAUAACCUAGAGAAAUCUGGGCUAAUACCGCAUAAUACCUUCGGGUCAAAGGAGCAAUUCGCUUAAGGAGGGGGUCGCGGCCGAUUAGUUAGUUGGCGGGGUNAUGGCCCACCAAGACUAUGAUCGGUAUCCGGCCUGAGAGGGCGCACGGACACACUGGAACUGAAACACGGUCCAGACUCCUACGGGAGGCAGCAGUGGGGAAUUUUGCGCAAUGGGGGAAACCCUGACGCAGCAACGCCGCGUGGAGGAUGAA